GAGGGUGUAGUUCAACUGAUAGAGUGCAUGCUUCAAAUGCACAGGAUCCUGGGUUCAAUUCCCAGUACCUCCU
rnacentral:tRNA from 1 species